rnacentral:lncRNA from 1 species
GAUAUGUCAAUCUAUUAAUUGUUGCAAUAUUAUAUUGGAUGUAGGCAAAUACAUUUAAAGGUGUAGUAAUAUGUGCAUAUUGAUAUUCAUCAAGAUGUACACCAAUGUGUAUAAAGUUGUGUGUACCAAUCUUUUCUUGUGUUUGAUGGAUGAGACUUUUAUUUGGAUGAUCCUUUGAUUGGCUUAAAUUAAUCAUUUUACAUGAUAGUGAUAUUACAUAGUCAAGUGUUAGAUGAAUCAUAAAUUAAAGUGGUACCAUUUGCCUCAAAUUGAUUCUUUGUAUUUCUAUCUGUUCGCAUUGUUUGUGUAUGAUUGCUUGUCCAAUUAAUUGGUCCAUCUGUAUGUCACAUUGAAGUA